rnacentral:lncRNA from 1 species
AUGCGGGCACUUACAAGGGGCAGUCUGACAGCAUCCCACACGGUGACCAGGUGCCCUCACUUCAUGCUGUUUCCUCUUCAGAGGGAGUUCAAGCACUCAGGCUCCAUGAGCCUCCCUUCUUCCAUGGGCUUAUUUACCACUCCUUUUGUCUUAUUAGAAAAGGUCCAUCACCUAACUCGCAAGCUACCCUGCGUCCUGUGGCACCCCUGCAGACUACCACUUGGCACCACCACAGCCGGUAGACUUGCUUCACAUGAAUCACCACCUUCUUCCAGCCCGAGUGCCUGUGAGAGCCCUUCACAGACUCCUGACUUGCACACCUGCUCUCAGCAUCUCUCACACUGCCCCUGACGUGUGAACAGGUGGAGAGAAGUCCAACAAGUUACUGCAGCUCAGCAUCGUCAUCCUUGCCUCUGAAGCUGCCAGGUCCUAGCGCGUCCCUCUCUCCAUGAACGCUGUGGACAGCGCUGUGGCUUCCCUUCUUGGGAGGCACAGAUUCCUGCUG